rnacentral:rRNA from 2 species
UCAGGACGAACGCUGGCGGCGUGCCUAAUACAUGCAAGUCGAGCGGACAGAAGGNAGCUUGCUCCCGGAUGUUAGCGGCGGACGGGUGAGUAACACGUGGGUAACCUGCCUGUAAGACUGGGAUAACUCCGGGAAACCGGAGCUAAUACCGGAUAGUUCCUUGAACCGCAUGGUUCAAGGAUGAAAGACGGUUUCGGCUGUCACUUACAGAUGGACCCGCGGCGCAUNAGCUAGUUGGUGGGGUAAUGGCUCACCAAGGCGACGAUGCGUAGCCGACCUGAGAGGGUGAUCGGCCACACUGGGACUGAGACACGGCCCAGACUCCUACGGGAGGCAGCAGUAGGGAAUCUUCCGCAAUGGACGAAAGUCUGACGGAGCAACGCCGCGUGAGUGAUGAAGGUUUUCGGAUCGUAAAGCUCUGUUGUUAGGGAAGAACAAGUGCGAGAGUAACUGCUCGCACCUUGACGGUACCUAACCAGAAAGCCACGGCUAACUACGUGCCAGCAGCCGCGGUAAUACGUAGGUGGCAAGCGUUGUCCGGAAUUAUUGGGCGUAAAGGGCUCGCAGGCGGUUUCUUAAGUCUGAUGUGAAAGCCCCCGGCUCAACCGGGGAGGGUCAUUGGAAACUGGGAAACUUGAGUGCAGAAGAGGAGAGUGGAAUUCCACGUGUAGCGGUGAAAUGCGUAGAGAUGUGGAGGAACACCAGUGGCGAAGGCGACUCUCUGGUCUGUAACUGACGCUGAGGAGCGAAAGCGUGGGGAGCGAACAGGAUUAGAUACCCUGGUAGUCCACGCCGUAAACGAUGAGUGCUAAGUGUUAGGGGGUUUCCGCCCCUUAGUGCUGCAGCUAACGCAUUAAGCACUCCGCCUGGGGAGUACGGUCGCAAGACUGAAACUCAAAGGAAUUGACGGGGGCCCGCACAAGCGGUGGAGCAUGUGGUUUAAUUCGAAGCAACGCGAAGAACCUUACCAGGUCUUGACAUCCUCUGACAACCCUAGAGAUAGGGCUUUCCCUUCGGGGACAGAGUGACAGGUGGUGCAUGGUUGUCGUCAGCUCGUGUCGUGAGAUGUUGGGUUAAGUCCCGCAACGAGCGCAACCCUUGAUCUUAGUUGCCAGCAUUCAGUUGGGCACUCUAAGGUGACUGCCGGUGACAAACCGGAGGAAGGUGGGGAUGACGUCAAAUCAUCAUGCCCCUUAUGACCUGGGCUACACACGUGCUACAAUGGACAGANNAAAGGGCUGCAAGACCGNANGGUUUAGCCAAUCCCAUAAAUCUGUUCUCNGUUCGGAUCGCAGUCUGCAACUCGACUGCGUGAAGCUGGAAUCGCUAGNANUCGCGGAUCANCAUGCCGCGGUGAAUACGUUCCCGGGCCUUGNACACACCGCCCGUCACACCACGNGAGUUUGCAACACCCGAAGUCGGUGAGGUAACCUUUAUGGAGCCAGC